rnacentral:rRNA from 1 species
AUUGAACGCUGGCGGCAGGCCUAACACAUGCAAGUCGAACGAGAGGCGGACGGGCGAGUAAUGUCUGGGCAACUGCCUGAUGGAGGGGGCUAACUGCGGGAAACGGUAGCUAAUACCGCAUACGAUCAGAUGUGCCCAGAUGGGAUUAGCUUGUUGGUGGGGUAACGGCUCACCAAGGCGACGAUCCCUAGCUGGUCUGAGAGGAUGACCAGCCACACUGGAACUGAGACACGGUCCAGACUCCUACGGGUGGCAGCAGUGGGGAAUAUUGCACAAUGGGCGCAAGCCUGAUGCAGCCAUGCCGCGUGUAUGAAGAAGGCCUUCGGGUUGUAAAGUACUUUCAGCGGGGAGGCGUUACCCGCCGAAGAAGCCCCGGCUAACUCCGUGCCAGCAGCCGCGGUAAUUC